UUCAUGGAGAGUUUGAUCCUGGCUCAGGACGAACGCUGGCGGCGUGCCUAAUACAUGCAAGUCGAGCGAACCGACGGGAGCUUGCUCCC
rnacentral:rRNA from 1 species